GAAAGAGUGACUAAUCUUAUUUUACACAAUAACCUUCCUUUCCAAGGGAGCUUGAAUCUCACUUGGAUCUCUUCACAGCUUGGACUUUGCUGCCUGAUAACAUGUCUUAGCUCCUUUUGUAACUCACUGAAAAGGAAAGCAAAAUAGUGGGACUUCUGUUUGGCCACAGAUAAACCCACGUCUUCAUGAGUUCCACCAGGAGGAAAGCAA